UGAACCUGCUGGCGUUGCCUCUCUUCCCAGGCAGUUAGCUAACUAGCUAGCUUGCUAACGAUAGCUAAACAGUGGCCAUAGUUAAAAUGGAAUUGGAAUUACUUUUGAGAACGACCGUAAUGCAAAUAAUAUUUACUGUAACCGAAGCUUUAACGUAGAAGCAUUGUCCGGUCAUUAAGUCAAUGCACUAACCAGAGCUAGGCUGAUAAGCCAAUCUAAGCUAAAUCAAAGAACCGUCUUUGGCUAAAUUCGCUAAGCUAGCGUUAAGUUAUAUAAGUUUGUGGCACCCACAAUUAACCUAGGCAACUGGGGGCAAUAUCAAGUGCAUUUUGAAUAGCCUGAAGAAGUAAGUUUAUGUUAAUAUUACAUAAAUAAGGCAAUUUAAAAUAGUUUGUUGUGGGAAAACAUUUAUUAAAAUAGCUUAAUAUGAUGUGUGAGAAUUAAAACGGCACGAUAAUUCUGGUCAGGUGUUAAAUGUGUAUUCCCGCCUUUAGCUUAGCGUUAGCUUAUCGUUAGCUUAGCGUUAGCUAAGCCAUAGCAUGAAGAAGUAAGUUUAUGUGAAUAUUACAUAAAUAAGGCAAUUUAAAAUAGUUUGUUGUGGGGAAAAAAAUAAUUAAAAUAGCUUAAUAUGAUGUGUGAGAAUUAAAACGGCACGAUAAUUCUCGUCAGGUGUUAAAUGUGUAUUCCCGCCUUUAGCUUAGCGUUAGCUUAGCGUUAGCUAAGCCAUAGCAUGAAGAAGUAAGUUUAUGUGAAUAUUACAUAAAUAAGGCAAUUUAAAAUAGUUUGUUGUGGGAAAAAAAUAAUUAAAAUAGCUUAAUAUGAUGUGUGAGAAUUAAAACAGCACGAUAAUUCUCGUCAGGUGUUAAAUGUGUAUUCCCGCCGUUAGCUUAGCGUUAGCUAAGCCAUAGUGUGAAGAAGUAAGUUUAUGUGAAUAUUACAUAAAUAAGGCAAUUUAAAAUAGUUUGUUGUGGGACAAAAAUAAAUGGCCAUCUUCAACAUUUUCUGAGAUUUCUAAUUUGUCUUUUUCUACUUGUGCAGAUGGAGUCAUGAAAUGUGACGGGACAGCCACCGAGGACUUCAUACUUCGGAGCAUCUCAAACAUGCACCACAAAGACGUGGAGGACACACCGCUGUCUCUCAGGACCUAGAAUCUUAAUGAAAGUAUAAUGAUGUUAAGGGAAGGUGUAAUGGAAAGGUGUAAUGUAAAGUUGUAAUGGUGUUAAGGGAAGGUGUAGUGGAAAGGUGUGAUAGUGUUGAGGGAAGGUGUAAUGUUAAAGGUGUAAUAGUGUUAAGGGAAGGUAUAAUAUUGUUAAGGGAAGGUGUAAUGUUAAAGGUGUAAUAGUUUUGAGGGAAGGUGUAAUAGUGUUAAGGGAAGGUAUAAUAUUGUUAAGGGAAGGUGUAAUGUAAAGGUGUAAUAGUGUUGAGGGAAGGUAUAAUAUUGUUAAGGGAAGGUGUAAUGUAAAGGUGUAAUAGUGUUGAGGGAAGGUAUAAUAUUGUUAAGGGAAGGUGUAAUGUAAAGCUGUAAUAGUUUUAAGGGAAGGUAAAUGUUUAGUGAAAUUGUUAUGGUGUGAAUCUAAGGUGUAUGUUAUGUUGAUGUAAAAUAAAGGCAUUAACCCCAAA